rnacentral:rRNA from 1 species
ACGUAGGGCGCAAGCGUUAUCCGGAAUUAUUGGGCGUAAAGAGCUCGUAGGCGGUUUGUCGCGUCUAUCGUGAAAGUCCGAGGCUCAACCUCGGAUCUGCGGUGGGUACGGGCAGACUAGAGUGAUGUAGGGGAGACUGGAAUUCCUGGUGUAGCGGUGAAAUGCGCAGAUAUCAGGAGGAACACCGAUGGCGAAGGCAGGUCUCUGGGCAUUAACUGACGCUGAGGAGCGAAAGCAUGGGGAGCGAACAGG